GACGAACGCUGGCGGCGUGCCUAAUACAUGCAAGUCGAACGAGAAUUUUUACACCGAGUGCUUGCACUCACCGUAAGAAAUUCGAGUGGCGGACGGGUGAGUAACACGUGGGCAACCUGCCCAAAAGAAGGGGAUAACAUUUGGAAACAAAUGCUAAUACCGUAUAACCAUGAUGACCGCAUGGUCAUUAUGUAAAAGGUGGUUUUGCUAUCGUUUUUGGAUGGACCCGCGGCGUAUUAACUAGUUGGUAGGGUAACGGCCUACCAAGGGGAUGAUACGUAGCCGAGUUGAGAGACUGAUCGGCCACAAUGGGACUGAGACACGGCCCAUACUCCUACGGGAGGCAGCAGUAGGGAAUCUUCCACAAUGGGCGCAAGCCUGAUGGAGCAACGCCGCGUGAAUGAAGAAGGUCUUCGGAUCGUAAAAUUCUGUUGUUAGAGAAGAAUAUGAGUAAUAGUAACUGAUUAUUCACUGACGGUAUCUAACCAGCAAGUCACGGCUAACUACGUGCCAGCAGCCGCCGUAA
rnacentral:rRNA from 1 species